GCGGUGAAAGCAUAAAACCGCCGGCGAAAACACUAAAACGGGUCUUUUCCCUCAGUCUAAAAAGCUCACUCUCCCGGAGUUAAAUCACCGGCCAUCUGCAGAACUGGACUCCGGCGACCGUCCGUACAUUUCUCAGCCGUGACAGAGGUGGCGGCGGGUAUAUUGGAUGGGAUAUGACGGAGCCACCAUCGCCGCCGUUGAAGGACAACAAGGUGCUCAAAGGAGUUUUUGCAGUGGGUGGAAUCUUGUCUACUCUCGUCAUCUACGGAAUCUUACAGG